AUUCCCCUAUAAAUUUGAUGUUUCAGUUUUAUGAAACACAGAACCGAAACAAAGAAAAAAAGAGAGCCAGCGAUCAAAGAAGAAAAGAAGCCCUCACCGUCGAAUUCCUCCAGUUCUCUCGCCGUCGUCCCUCUCCCGUCGUUUGCUACUGUUGCACAUUGAGAUUUGGAUUUGUCACUCAUGAGUUGACAGAUCAGACACCACUUUCCAAGUAUGCAACCUUCCCCUUUUUAUUCAACAAUUGCCACUUAACCCUUUCUACUUUAUCAAGUCUUGCAAUCAUGUUCUUGUGUUACUUAACAUUCAGUUAGCUGGGUAGGAAAAAAGAAAUGUUGAAAGAAUGGACAUGUUUGCUCCUAGAACGAGAAAUAUCAUGACUUGACUCAUCUUCACACGUUAGAUUCAACAACGGUGAAAACCAUUCUUAAUAUACUAAGAUCAAACCCCAACAAAUUAAUAUACAUUGUACAAUAUUAUAAAUUCUCAAGUUCUUUCAUUCAAAAUGACUCAUUUCCAAGUUGAACCUGAAAAUGAUGGUUCCAUUGUGUGCACUAUGAUCUCAAGACAAAUAUAUACAACACUACAAUAGCAUGAGUUCUCACAUUAAUCACAAAAUUGACUCAUUUCAACGUUAGAUUAAGACGCUAGUUAAAGGUACCCUCAUGAGCAUAGAAUCAAUUGCGCACUAGCUAACUAAUAUAAUUUAAGAUUUAAAAAUCUAAGGAGACGAUUGUCCCCUGUUUGACUUUCCUCUUAGGGGAACUUAGUUACAUAAUUUAUUUGUUAUUUUUUAAAAAUUUUGUAAAACACUUUCUAUCCUAAACUUUAAUAUAGUCGGUUAACAUUGUCAACUAACUAUACCAACCAAAAUGUCAUAAUAUCGGUGUUCUUCAAAUGCAAAGAAAGGCGUCGGCAACAAAUUCGUUGGGAAUGAACAAUAUUCCGACGCACGCUUUCACACGUUGGGAUAGACAACUUUUUCCGACGCUGUGACAUAGACGUCGAAAACAACGUAGGGAAUAACAUGUUAUCCCGAUGUGGCAUGUAUGUGUCGGGAACGAAUCUUCGAAAAUUACAUAACAUUAAUUUUGUCAGACAUAUAUUCCCGACGCAUGCUGCAUGGCGUCGAAAAAUGAGUCGGGAGUAAGGUUCUCUACCGACGCUACUUUGGUGCGUCAGGAGUAAUGUAAAAUUUUCGACGCCAUUAGUUAUCCGUAGGAAAUGGUGUCGGGAGAAAGGAGAUCUCUUGACGUUUUCAUGCUGCGUCGGGAAUUCCCCUAUAAAUUUGAUGUUUCAGUUUUAUGAAACACAGAACCGAAACAAAGAAAAAAAGAGAGCCAGCGAUCAAAGAAGAAAAGAAGCCCUCACCGUCGAAUUCCUCCAGUUCUCUCGCCGUCGUCCCUCUCCCGUCGUUUGCUACUGUUGCACAUUGAGAUUUGGAUUUGUCACUCAUGAGUUGACAGAUCAGACACCACUUUCCAAGUAUGCAACCUUCCCCUUUUUAUUCAACAAUUGCCACUUAACCCUUUCUACUUUAUCAAGUCUUGCAAUCAUGUUCUUGUGUUACUUAACAUUCAGUUAGCUGGGUAGGAAAAAAGAAAUGUUGAAAGAAUGGACAUGUUUGCUCCUAGAACGAGAAAUAUCAUGACUUGACUCAUCUUCACACGUUAGAUUCAACAACGGUGAAAACCAUUCUUAAUAUACUAAGAUCAAACCCCAACAAAUUAAUAUACAUUGUACAAUAUUAUAAAUUCUCAAGUUCUUUCAUUCAAAAUGACUCAUUUCCAAGUUGAACCUGAAAAUGAUGGUUCCAUUGUGUGCACUAUGAUCUCAAGACAAAUAUAUACAACACUACAAUAGCAUGAGUUCUCACAUUAAUCACAAAAUUGACUCAUUUCAACGUUAGAUUAAGACGCUAGUUAAAGGUACCCUCAUGAGCAUAGAAUCAAUUGCGCACUAGCUAACUAAUAUAAUUUAAGAUUUAAAAAUCUAAGGAGACGAUUGUCCCCUGUUUGACUUUCCUCUUAGGGGAACUUAGUUACAUAAUUUAUUUGUUAUUUUUUAAAAAUUUUGUAAAACACUUUCUAUCCUAAACUUUAAUAUAGUCGGUUAACAUUGUCAACUAACUAUACCAACCAAAAUGUCAUAAUAUCGGUGUUCUUCAAAUGCAAAGAAAGGCGUCGGCAACAAAUUCGUUGGGAAUGAACAAUAUUCCGACGCACGCUUUCACACGUUGGGAUAGACAACUUUUUCCGACGCUGUGACAUAGACGUCGAAAACAACGUAGGGAAUAACAUGUUAUCCCGAUGUGGCAUGUAUGUGUCGGGAACGAAUCUUCGAAAAUUACAUAACAUUAAUUUUGUCAGACAUAUAUUCCCGACGCAUGCUGCAUGGCGUCGAAAAAUGAGUCGGGAGUAAGGUUCUCUACCGACGCUACUUUGGUGCGUCAGGAGUAAUGUAAAAUUUUCGACGCCAUUAGUUAUCCGUAGGAAAUGGUGUCGGGAGAAAGGAGAUCUCUUGACGUUUUCAUGCUGCGUCGGGAAUUCCCCUAUAAAUUUGAUGUUUCAGUUUUAUGAAACACAGAACCGAAACAAAGAAAAAAAGAGAGCCAGCGAUCAAAGAAGAAAAGAAGCCCUCACCGUCGAAUUCCUCCAGUUCUCUCGCCGUCGUCCCUCUCCCGUCGUUUGCUACUGUUGCACAUUGAGAUUUGGAUUUGUCACUCAUGAGUUGACAGAUCAGACACCACUUUCCAAGUAUGCAACCUUCCCCUUUUUAUUCAACAAUUGCCACUUAACCCUUUCUACUUUAUCAAGUCUUGCAAUCAUGUUCUUGUGUUACUUAACAUUCAGUUAGCUGGGUAGGAAAAAAGAAAUGUUGAAAGAAUGGACAUGUUUGCUCCUAGAACGAGAAAUAUCAUGACUUGACUCAUCUUCACACGUUAGAUUCAACAACGGUGAAAACCAUUCUUAAUAUACUAAGAUCAAACCCCAACAAAUUAAUAUACAUUGUACAAUAUUAUAAAUUCUCAAGUUCUUUCAUUCAAAAUGACUCAUUUCCAAGUUGAACCUGAAAAUGAUGGUUCCAUUGUGUGCACUAUGAUCUCAAGACAAAUAUAUACAACACUACAAUAGCAUGAGUUCUCACAUUAAUCACAAAAUUGACUCAUUUCAACGUUAGAUUAAGACGCUAGUUAAAGGUACCCUCAUGAGCAUAGAAUCAAUUGCGCACUAGCUAACUAAUAUAAUUUAAGAUUUAAAAAUCUAAGGAGACGAUUGUCCCCUGUUUGACUUUCCUCUUAGGGGAACUUAGUUACAUAAUUUAUUUGUUAUUUUUUAAAAAUUUUGUAAAACACUUUCUAUCCUAAACUUUAAUAUAGUCGGUUAACAUUGUCAACUAACUAUACCAACCAAAAUGUCAUAAUAUCGGUGUUCUUCAAAUGCAAAGAAAGGCGUCGGCAACAAAUUCGUUGGGAAUGAACAAUAUUCCGACGCACGCUUUCACACGUUGGGAUAGACAACUUUUUCCGACGCUGUGACAUAGACGUCGAAAACAACGUAGGGAAUAACAUGUUAUCCCGAUGUGGCAUGUAUGUGUCGGGAACGAAUCUUCGAAAAUUACAUAACAUUAAUUUUGUCAGACAUAUAUUCCCGACGCAUGCUGCAUGGCGUCGAAAAAUGAGUCGGGAGUAAGGUUCUCUACCGACGCUACUUUGGUGCGUCAGGAGUAAUGUAAAAUUUUCGACGCCAUUAGUUAUCCGUAGGAAAUGGUGUCGGGAGAAAGGAGAUCUCUUGACGUUUUCAUGCUGCGUCGGGAAUUCCCCUAUAAAUUUGAUGUUUCAGUUUUAUGAAACACAGAACCGAAACAAAGAAAAAAAGAGAGCCAGCGAUCAAAGAAGAAAAGAAGCCCUCACCGUCGAAUUCCUCCAGUUCUCUCGCCGUCGUCCCUCUCCCGUCGUUUGCUACUGUUGCACAUUGAGGUAAGUUUUAAAAUCCUUAAUUUUUAGGUUUAUUUAGUUUUUUUAAAAAAGUUGUUUUAGGAUUUUGUUUAGGAAUAGAUUUUUGCUUGUGAAAUGGAAAAUUUGAAUGUGUAUUGAAUUGAAAUUUGAAGUGGGUGGUUGAAUUGAAAUUUUGAGAGGGGGUUGAAUGAAAAAUUUGAAGUAGAGGGUUGGUUAAAUUUAAAUUUUGAAAUGGGUGGAGGAUGAAUUGAAAAUUUGAAGUUGGGGGGGGGGGGGGUUGAAUUUAAAUUUUGAAGUAGGGGGACGAAUUUGGGGUUGAUUGAAAUUUUGAAGGGGAGGUUGAAUAGAAAUUUCGAAAGGGGUGGAAGGUUUGAAUUGAAAAUUUGAGGGGGGCAAUGGAAUUUGUUUGUGUUAAAAAUUCUGUAAUAUGUGUUAAGAUUUAUUUUGGUUAUCCUGCAGUAUAGUAUCCUGUUUGUGUUGAAUAACUUUGUUGUUGAUUUGGGAUGACUGUCCUGCAAUUAUGGUAGCCUGUUUGUGUUGAAUAACUUUGCGUUGUUGAUUUGGGAUGACUAUCCUACGAUUAUGGUAGCCUUUUUUUUGUUUUGAAUUUGUUUGUAUUUGUGAAGGUUUGAAGGGGGUGGUAGUAGAAUAGCUUGUAAGGUAGCGUUGUUGGAAGGGGGGGGGGGGUAGGAUGCGAAGAUUAAAGUAUUUUGUUGUUAAUAGUUAGGUUGUGUUGGCUAUUCUGCAGUUAUGGUAGCUUCUAUAGUUUAAAGUUAGUUUUAGUGAAAAUUUUGAGAGAUUGUAUAUUCAGGGGAGUAAGUUUAGGAUGUGAGAGGAGAGGGAUAUGUUUCUAAUCAAACAUAUUUAUGUUUUAGGGACUUAAACGAUGGACAAGGGUUAGAUGAAACUUAGGAAUAAGUUUUCACUUGAGUGUAGAGAGAGAGUGACCCAAUUUUUAGAAUUUGCCAAGUGUCACGUUGAGGUCGUCAAGGCUGACCUCCAGGUAAUUAAGCCUAUUACACAUAUAAUUUGAAACAUAUUUAAGCUAACCAAGCUAAUGUGUUAUUUUUGUAAUGUAUAGCAGUUUUUUGUUCUUUAUUUCAAUGAUCAAGCAAUGAAUAAGUUCGUUGAGCAUCAGAUGCUCAUCACCUUUAAAGAGUUUUGGGACAACUAUCACAGGCACUUCAAAAAGUACAGCGACCCCGAGGAGGCUCGUGCCAACCCACCAAACCUAUUGAUGGGACGUGAUGAGGAUUGACACCUCCUCUGUGACCACUACAUGUGCCGUGCAUUCCAGAUGAACAAUUGAACCAUUUGUCAUGGUUAAUUAUGAUUUCAACUUUUAAUAUGUAUAAGACAUAAACAACAUAAUUGUUUUCAUGUAAGAGCAAUCAUGGACGAUCAAGGCUACUAGACAGAAGCAACCUUACAAUCAUAGUAGCGUGGAUCAAAGUUGUUUCUAUAACGAUAGCACGAGCUCACUGAACAAAGAGGGGAGUCAGUCGAUCGUGUGGAGUUGUUAUGGAAAACACACGUUCGAUCCGGGACGUUCGUGUCGUAGGCCACAGAGGAUGCACAUAAUCAAAUGUUGGAACUCCAGUCCUAGCUUACCCCAAAGGGUAGUCAGCCACUCUCUGAGGAUGAGAUAUGCGAUCAAGUGUUGGGUAGACGACCAGGCUAUUCAAAAGGCCUUAGUUGGGGACCCAAGCCGAAAGCCCGCAAGACGACAAGUGCGAGUAGUUCCUUGAUAUCAUGUUCGUAGUCCACAGAAAGAGAGAUUCAAUUAUAGCUAAGCUUGAUGAAGGUUUGGAAUGGAUUGAAUAGUAGACAAUAAUUCACCAAGCUUUAGCUUCAGAAGUGGAACAAAUGCGGAAGCUGAUAUAAUACAUGACUCGGACACAAUAAGGACCACCACAUGAUCCCUAGCUUUGCUGACCUACGGUGUAGAAUGGCGUACGAGGCUCAUUAGAAGACGUACAACUUUCUUUGCGCUUUUUUCUAUUAUGAACAUUAUAUUUUUUGUAUUAUGAAUGCUAUUAUAUUUUUGAACUUCUUUGUAUUAUCUAAAUUAUCAAUAUUUCGUAAUUUACUGAUUUA